CAAAAAGAAAUGGGAUGUCAUAGAGGAGGCAUAGCAAAUAGAUCUGUUUGGUGGAACUAUAGAGUGUGAUCUGUAAUGGUGUGAAGCCAACUUGGAACCAUAUGUUGGAAUUGAUGGUGAAGGUUUUCAGUGCAGAAAAGUUUGUAUUUUAUCUUAGAGGAAGUAGCAUCUGGAAUAAGGGAGUGACAUGGCCACACCUUUGUUUUUAGAAUAUCAACUUGGAAGCUAUAAGAAGAAUGGAAAGAGAGCCUCUUGAGGCAAGGAGACCCAAUUAAGAGACUGUUUCAAUAAUCCAGGCAUCAGGGGAUGAGGGCCUGAAUUAUAGUGGUGGGGUCAGGGGGAGGGAAGGAAACAAGUAUGAGAAAUUUUGUAAAGAUAGAACCAGCAAGACAACUGAUCAAAUAUGAGCAGAGAGAAGACAAUGGCAAGAUGACUAAAAGGAUGAUCGUACUCUCAAUAGACAGAAGAAAAUUAGAAAGAGCACUGACCACAGUUCCUGGUUCAAUAAUAAAUGAUUGUUUGAUUGGUUUUGUAAAAGAGAAGUAGAAAGUUCAGUCAAGCCAAUAGAAAGAUAACAGCAAUGUCAUAAAAACUCAAUGAGAAGAUUGUCCAGGAAGAAAUAGUCAUAAAAAUCAUAGAAAUGGAGAUCAUUCCAUACCAUGAGAA